GGAGAGGUGCCAGAGUGGUUGAUUGGGUCGGUCUCGAAAACCGAUGUGGCGGCAACGUCACCGGGGGUUCGAAUCCCCCCCUCUCCG
rnacentral:tRNA from 1 species